CUAUGGCACCAGUCAUGCAAAGCUCUCAGCCAUGGGUCGAGAAAUAUCGACCGAAGCAAGUGAAGGAUGUAGCUCACCAGGAUGAGGUCGUUCGAGUCCUCACCAACACUCUCGAGACCACUAACUGCCCGCAUAUGUUGUUUUAUGGUCCUCCUGGAACCGGAAAGACGACCACAGCUCUUGCCAUUGCCCAUCAGCUUUUCGG